GGAAUAUAUCUCAGUUGGGAGAGUGCUUGCCUCGCAUGCACAAGGUCCUGGGUUUAAUCCUCAGCACCA
rnacentral:tRNA from 1 species